rnacentral:snRNA from 1 species
GGUUGUAAGGUCAAUCUGGCUGCAACAUCUGUCACCCCACUGAUUGUCAGAGUUGAUUUAGCUGAUCUGGCUGGCUAGGUGAGUGUCCUCUUCCUCCCUCUCUGCUCCAUGUGCAUCCCUCCUGAAGCUGCAUGCUUGGUCAAAGAGGAUGACCUUCCCUGAUAGGGGAGGACUGGACCAUUCUUCAGUCAAAGGUAUACAAGUAGCUCUGCUCCCCUGAGAGAACUUCAAAGAAGCUCUCAAGAUCAAUAGGUGCAAAAAUAUAGUUAGAUAGAUAGAACAAUAUUUGAUAGCACAACAAAGUAACUACAACCAAUGAUAAGUUAGGCUAUACUUUAAAGUAACUAUUAAUAA